rnacentral:misc_RNA from 1 species
CUUGUUCAGAAAAUCUAUGGCCUCUUGAUACUCUUCUUCUGUGAAAUAAUACAAAUUACUUUCAUCUCUCUCCAUCUUCGUCGAUGCGUUUUUACGAUGAAGAAGAAGAGGAAUAGAGUUUUAGUAGGUGAAAGAAAAAGCGUGUCUACUGUUAUAUAUACCGGCGUUAAUCCUAAACCUGUUGUAGUAGGGAUUCCUAAUCCUGUUGUAAUAGGG